rnacentral:rRNA from 1 species
UACGGGAGCAGCAGUGGGGAAUAUUGCACAAUGGGCGAAAGCCUGAUGCAGCUAUGCCGCGUGUAUGAAGAAGGCCUUAGGGUUGUAAAGUACUUUCAUCGGGGAGGAAAAACAAAACUAAUAAUUUUAUUUCUUGACGUUACCCGAAAAAGAAGCACCGGCUAACUCCGUGCCAGCAGCCGCGGUAAUACGGAGGGUGCGAGCGUUAAUCGGAAUUACUGGGCGUAAAGGGCACGCAGGCGGUUAAUUAAGUUGGAUGUGAAAUCCCCGGGCUUAACCUGGGAAUGGCAUUCAAGACUGGUUAGCUAGAGUCUUGUAGAGGGGGUAGAAUUCCAUGUGUAGCGGUGAAAUGCGUAGAGAUGUGGAGGAAUACCGGUGGCGAAGGCGGCCCCUGGACAAAGACUGACGCUCAUGUGCGAAAGCGUGGGGAGCAAACAGGGAUUAGAUACCCGU